rnacentral:rRNA from 1 species
GACGAACGCUGGCGGCGUGCCUAAUACAUGCAAGUCGAACGCACUCUCGUUUAGAUUGAAGGAGCUUGCUCCUGAUUGAUAAACAUUUGAGUGAGUGGCGGACGGGUGAGUAACACGUGGGUAACCUGCCCUAAAGUGGGGGAUAACAUUUGGAAACAGAUGCUAAUACCGCAUAAAACCUAAACACCGCAUGGUGUAGGGUUGAAAGAUGGUUUCGGCUAUCACUUUAGGAUGGACCCGCGGUGCAUUAGUUAGUUGGUGAGGUAAAGGCUCACCAAGACCGUGAUGCAUAGCCGACCUGAGAGGGUAAUCGGCCACACUGGGACUGAGACACGGCCCAGACUCCUACGGGAGGCAGCAGUAGGGAAUCUUCCACAAUGGACGAAAGUACUGAUGGAGCAACGCCGCGUGAGUGAAGAAGGUUUCGGAUCGUAAAACUCUGUUGUUGGAGAAGAAUGUAUCUGAUAGUAACUGAUCAGGUAGUGACGGUAU